UUAACGAUGAAGGCAACUGUAACAGCAAACUUAACUGCUCCAAUGCAUUCCAUUCGGUGCCAUGCAGCGUAACUCGCCAGUUCGUCAAUUUUGUGCGCUGUCUUUGCCAUUCAGUUUUUCGGUGGAAAAUAUUCGUUUGCAAUUUCGAUUGCAGACAUUUUUCGCGAGCAGCUAUGACUUUGGUGGAGCGCUUAGGAAAUAGACUCACACAAAUUGUUUGAUAUGGUUCGUAUGGCAUCUCAAAUACUUCGCUGCAGAGCAUUCAUUGUACACGCAAGUUGCAUGGAUGAAUGUUCAUAUGUGUUUGUAUGUACAUAUAUAUGUGUAUGGAGAUGCAUACGUGUGAUGUGUAGUGGAGCGAAGUGGAGUAUAAGACAAAGUGGUCGGUCGCCAGGCGCGUUAGCUAGUGUCGCAUUCGCAAUUGGGCUUUCGCAUUGAACGGCGGCGUCGGCAGCGGCACAACAGCUGCAGCUGCAACUGAAAUUGCAAUCGCUUUCGCCUAAAUAAUAUACCAAACAGUCGCCAAGAAGCCAUUCGCUUGGAUCGACAGAACUCUAUUCGUCCAGUUCCAGUUCAACGUUCAUAGUGCGUUAUGUCGCCGUCAGUUAAUGCAACACGCCUCCGAAUGCAUAUUACUUGGACAGCGUAAGUUCAUAUUUUGUACUGCAUAAAAACGUUUAAGCAUUUUAGCAACGAAACGGAAUCAAAUGUUAUGCUCAAGCUGUAAAACGUUUAAUAAUGCAUUGUACUUAGUGACAAUUCACAGGCCAUUAAUUUCAUAGUGAGAAUACAUAAUUGUAUUGUGCAUAAAUUAAUAAAACAUAAAACGAGUGACGAAUUGUUUAAUUGUGAACUGCAGCGACGUUGCUUUUGUUCGACUCGCUUAAUCGCGUAGAAUGAAAUUUGAACGCCGGCGGCACUUCAAAGUCAAAGCGUCCAAGCGAUUGGUGAAAACAAAAAAAAAAAUUAAAACUUAAUUAGUCCAAGUGCAAAACUAUAUAAUUAUUUAUAUACAUAUUUAUUAUCGCAAGAGAUUCUCUUAGCUAUAAUAAUGAGGCUUCAAAGAUGCUCAUUUGACAAACGUCUGCUACUUUCGGCGCUGACGGAUGCAACCUACACACACAAAUGUAGGA